ensembl:snoRNA U8 U8 small nucleolar RNA
UUGUCAGCUGGGAUAAUCUUUACCUGUUCCUUCUUUUGGAGGGCAAAUUAGGACAUGAUUGGGGUUCACAUGAUAUGCGAUUAACAUCUCAGUAAUCAGGACUUACAGCACCCUGAUUGCGCCUAUCUGAU